AAAAGGUAUUGGGAGAAUGAAUUCACGCUUAAAGCGUAAAAAGUGAAAACGCCAAAAUGACGUUCUCGCCAUUCCCAACUCUAAAUUAGAGGACGCAGGAUUCUAUUUGGGAAAACAGAGAAAACAAGGGAAACAGAACACGCUUCGUCCCUUCACCGCUUCGUCCCUUCGUCCCUUCGUCUAUGUCGCCCUUUCUUCUUCGUCUUCAUCCCCUCAUCUUCGUCUUCAUCUUCAUCCCCUCAUCUUCGUCUUCGUCUUCGUCCCUUCAUCCAAGUCUGAAACAGAAACACGCCCUUCAUCUACGGGAAGCAGAGAAAUUCCUUGCUUCUCUCUUUUGCAAUCUUCCUACACACUCUCUUGGAAGAUCUUGAUUUUGUUUCCCACUCUCUUGGAAGAUCUUGCUGCAAAGCCUUCUGGAAAAUUUGGAACGAAAUUACUCUUUUUCUGCUAUUUAUGUUUAGAUUUGGGUAUGAAGACUAUGGUGUUAUUUGUGUUUAGAUUUGGGGUUUUCUUUAUGCUAACUUUAAUUUCAUUUUUGUUUAUGUCGAUGGUUGAAUUUUUUCUUGUUUUCUGCAAUUGAUCUUGACUAGGAUUGAAUUUUUUCCUUGUUUUCUGCAUUUGGUUAAGUCAAAGGAGCUGGAUCUGUUUUCUGGUUUUAGUUUGCUUUAUAACUCUGAUUUUCUGUUUACUAUGAUUAUAGUAAACGGGCAAGAUUGAUUCUUAAAUUUGGUAAAAUUUUAUGUGAUUCGAUUGAAAUAGUAGGAUGAAACUCUUGUAAACAUCAGUUCUGUCAAACAUUUGGUUUUGGACUAGUUUAGGAAGGAUGAAACUCUUGAAAUAGGAGCUGUUGUUAGAUGGAAUUGACAGAUUGAUUGUUGGCUUUAUAUGUUUUCUGGUUUUAGACGAAACAAUACUUAGUGCAUUUGAGAAUAAAUCUGGACUAGUUUAGGAAGGCUAUUUGGUAGUUUCUAGUUAUGCACUACAUGAUUGAAGGUUGUCAUAAUUUACUUUCUUUAAAAGGAUAUGGCGUCCAAGAAUGUUGAUGGUCAAGAAAAAAUGUCAUGGGCCCCAAGACAUGAGACAAUAUUCAUACAUAUAUUGCAUGAACAUGUGAAGAAUGGUGACUUGCAGACAUCAACUUUUAAAAUGAAAGUUUGGGCAUAAGUAAGUGAUGAGUUGUAUGCACAAUGUGGACAAAAAUGUACUAUUCCACAACUUAAAUCUAAGUUUAAUAGACUGCGACAAGUGCAUCAUGACUUCUCAGAUUUGAUUGAGCAUCGGGAUUUGGGUGGGAUCCUAUUGCAAACACAGUGACUGCCUCAGAGGAUGUUUGGGCAAGUUACUUGAAGAGUAAGCCAAAAGCGAAGCAAUUUCGCACGCAAGGCUUAGAGCACUAUCAACUUUUAGGGGAGAUAUUCAACACUACUACUGCAACUGGGCAAUUGCAUUAUGCCUCUAGUCAACUUCCUCCUAACUCAGAUGAUGAACGUGAGUUAGAAAAUAACUUCCUUAACAUCGGAGUUCACAUCAAUGUUGACUUGGAUGAUGAUGGUGACAACCCUCAUGGAGUGGUAAAGGAAAAAGAAAGUGUGCAACUACUGCUCCACCUGAGCGUCGUCCGAAGAAAUGGGAUAAAAUGAAAUCUUAUUUGGAUGUUUGCAGUGAAGUUAUGAGUCAAAAAUUACAGCGAGAAAAGGAAAAGAGUCUUGAGGCAUCUAGCACCUCUAAGGAGAUGUAUUCGAUUGAAGAAUGCAUAGACAUUGUUGAGACAAUGGGAGACAUUGUUGAGACAAUGGGAGACAUUGAUAACGUACGAUACAUUCAACAAGAUGCUAGAAAAGAUAGUGCUUGUUGAAUGGAGGAAAAUCUUUGUUACAAUGCUAGCAACAAGGAGGAGAGUUGGUUGGCUAGUCUUUAGGAUUACUACUUAUGUUUGUUGUUGAGAGGAUAUUUAGGAAUUGUUCUUGUUAUUAUGUUUGAUGUUUGUGACUUUAGUUUGUAUGCAUAUUUAUGGAUUUUUGUGACUUUAAUUUGUAUGCAUAUUCAUAGAUUUUUGUGAAUUUAAUUUGUAUGCAUAUUUGAAGGUACUAGACAUGUCUACAAGGAAUGAAGACAAUCACUCUGAUAGUGAUUCAGAUCUUGAAGAAAUGGAGCAACAUAUGAUAAUUUGUAUGCAUAUUUAUGAAUAUUGGCAAUCAUAUGUAGACAGAACUCCAUGUCAUAACUCUAUUUUAUCUGGGCAUGAAUA